CGCCAUAGUACUGACACACCACAAAUUAUUGCAACCACACGGACAUGAAGCAAUCCGUUUUUCUCGUUAACAUAUUAGUGUGUGCUGUUAUUUGACUUGUGCGUGUUGGCUUUACGUUGUUGCUAGACGGCCAGCAAUCAACUACGCAAAACGUGACACACGAGCUUUACAAACUGCAGACAGAGGGUUCGAUACUGAAAAUCAUGAUGACAACUUUACAGGAGACAUGCCCCUUAUGCGCAGUGUGCAAGCAGCAACCAAUUCCAGCGUUUAUGGCAACUUUGACCGCUAGAAGUUUACUAUGUGCUGAAAAUGCCCCUCUCAUUUUCGAUAGAGAACGUCUAGACACUCGCAACGAUUAUGAUGUCCGCCAUGGGGUCUUUCGUGCACCCGUCUCGGCUGUUUUCGGAGAAAACCCGAGGUAUUGUCACAGCCAGCUCGUCGUGUCCGCCGUCCGUGUCAAGAAUAGGAACGUACAUGUUUUUCGCAACACCCACCGCUCAAGCUGGAGAUGCCUUUCAUACAACAAUUUUGAAUAAUUUGCUGACAGAGGAAAUUGGUCUCCUAUUUGGCAACAAUGGACAAACGGAAUGGAGUAACGAUUCGACCACAAUUGUUGUCCAGCUUGUUGCUGGAGAUGACGUUUGGUUGGCAUGUAACAUGCCAAGCACAAUCACUGGUUGAAACACUGGAGGAUAUAAUGAUUUAUAUUCACAUUUCUUUGGGGCUUUGAUCGCAGCACUAUAACAAACCAGAAAACAAUUGUGCCGUAAAUAACUCUUUGUUUAUUUAUGUACAAAAAACAUAUGUUACUUCAUUUAAUUUAGAAAUAUAUAUUAAUAGCAUUUAAACAUACUAUUCUAAAUACACCUCAAAUGAUACGUGACAAUCAUUGAGUAUAAAUAGCCAAAACAUUAUGGUUUACUUCUAAAAAGCCUGGACUUCAAUAAGUCAGUAUAACAUUAUGUGUUCUAUUCUCUCAUAUGGAACUUUGUAUGUACCCUACCACUUAUAGCGGGGGACAUAUUGUUUUUGCCCUGUGUGUUGGUUGGUUGGUUUGUGGGUUUGUGUGUUUGUUUGCUCCAACUUUAACAUUUGCCAUAACUUUUGCAAUAUUGAAGAUAGCAACUUGAUAUUUGGCAUGCAUGUGUAUCUCAUGGAGCUGCACAUUUUGAGUGGUAAAAGGUCAAGGUCAACGUCAUUCUUCAAGGUCACAGGUAAAAAAAUAAGAAAUAAAGCAUGCAUGUGUAUCUCAUGGAGCUGCACAUUUUGAGCGGUGAAAGGUGAAGGUCAAGGUCAUCCUUCAAGGUCAAAGGUAAACAAAAAUCAAAGCGGCGCAAAAGGGGACAUAAUGUUUCUGACAAACACAUUUCUUGUUAUGUUUAAAUUCAUGGAUGCGUUCACGACCUGGACAAGAUGGGUAUGAUCGCGAGGUGUAUGUGAAGCAAUAGAAAAAAAUGACUUAUUUGCAAUUAAAUAUGGAUUUGGUUGUUAUAGUAUAGUAUUGCCCAAAUUUAGUGCAUCAGUUUUAAAUAUUUCAAGAACAAGGGUUGAAGUAAGCAAAGCCCUGAACUGCAUCUAUCAGUAAAACAACGGUAGGAAUUUGUUUAGUAUGUUAUUUCUUUAUGUUAUAGAAUAUUUUAAAAUAUUCAAAAUUUUAAGUUCGCUAUUAAAUUAAUUUAUUGAUAUUUUAGAUAUGAAAAUAUGUAAACAAGUCCUUAAUUAUAAACGUAUAAGAAAUAUGAAAAAAGUUGUCAUUGAACAGAUAAAAAUCGUACUAUUAUACAUGUCUCCAGAAAAGAUCGAAUAAAAUAAGAGCGAUGUAAACACCCACACUAUUAUAAUGUUUUUCGUAUGGCAUUUCUA